GCAUAUCAAUAAGCGGAGGAAAAGAAACUAACAAGGAUUCCCCUAGUAACGGCGAGUGAAGUGGGAAAAGCUCAACUUUGAAAUCUGGUACCUUUGGUAUCCGAGUUGUAGUCUCAAGAAACGUUUUCUGUGCUGGCCCAUGUAUGAGUCUGUUGGAACACAGCGUCAUAGAGGGUGACAACCCCGUUCAUGACAUGGACCCCAGUGCUUUGUGAUACGUUCUCGAAGAGUCGAGUUGUUUGGGAAUGCAGCUCAAAUUGGGUGGUAAAUUCCAUCUAAAGCUAAAUAUUGGUGAGAGACCGAUAGCAAACAAGUACCGUGAGGGAAAGAUGAAAAGCACUUUGGAAAGAGAGUUAACAGUACGUGAAAUUGUUGAAAGGGAAACGAUUGAAGUCAGACGUGCGUGAUGCAGUUCAGCCUAGGUUCGCCUGGGUGUACUCUGUAUCUUUGCAGGCCAACAUCGGUUUUGCGAGACGGAUAAAGGUUAGAGAAAUGUGGCAGGUCCGCCUGUGUUAUAGUCUCUGACUGAAUACGUUUUGUGGGACCGAGGAACGCAGCGCGCCGCAAGGCAAAGGUUCCGACCUUUUCGCGCUUAGGAUGUUGGUGAAAUGGCUUUAAACGACCCGUCUUGAAACACGGACC
rnacentral:rRNA from 1 species